ensembl:snoRNA SNORD15 Small nucleolar RNA SNORD15
CUUCGGUGAGGAUGUGAUGACGAGUCUGAAAGGGAACGUCCGAGUGCCCUGCUUCGUGCUGUGUUCUGCAGCACGAGAUCUGGGACCUUGGGCUGGGAUUUGAGUGACCUAGAGGCAUUUGUCUGAGAAGG